CUAAACUGGCGCCGCCUCGGUGCUCGCGCGGGUGACGCGCGGUUAAACGGGAAGCAGGGUGCCGGCUCCGCCAGGAGCGGCCAACCUGCGCUGCCCCCGCAACGGUAAGCGGCCGCAUCGGAUCGAUGCAGGCCGGCUCGGGUGCGUGUCGCGUGCGGUGUUGCGCACGAUACGCAGGCCACUGCGCGAUUCAUGCGCGGGAAGGCGAGCCGGUGUGCCGCCAGCCCGGAUACCGGCCGAGGCGGGGAGCCCGCG
rnacentral:ncRNA from 2 species